rnacentral:rRNA from 1 species
AAAACUUUCAACAACGGAUCUCUUGGUUCUGGCAUCGAUGAAGAACGCGGCGAAAUGCGAUAAGUAAUGUGAAUUGCAGAAUUCAGUGAAUCAUCGAAUCUUUGAACGCACAUUGCGCCCCUCGGUAUUCCGGGGGGCAUGCCUGUUCGAGCGUCAUUG